rnacentral:sRNA from 1 species
AUGAGCCUUGGGAGCUGAAGGUGCCUUUUUAUCCAUAAUAUGGAUCUGGCAUGGAACCCUGUACUGCCCCAGCAAAUGUGCCUCAUCCCUGCCCUGGACGGACAGUGCUCUAAAGGGGAAAAUAUGAGGGUCAGUCUCCAAGGCCUAUUCAGUCCUUGCAGCCU